rnacentral:lncRNA from 1 species
AUGCAGCGUCCCGCGCCCUCCUACAGCUACUGGCGCGCCGUGGGCUUGGCGCAGGCGCAGACGUGGCUCCUUAACUUACAAAUUGUACCUUGGGCUGGUUUCAUGAAAAUCCACUUGGGAUUGCCCAGUGCACACGGUAGACAUGGAAAUGGAUCAUCAGCAUCCCCAGACAAUAUAAGCCUACUCAACAGCCAACUGGUGGUCAACCAAAACCAGUAGAAUGUAAAGCUUCAUAAAAAUAAAGGAUUUAAUGAUACACUGGCCUGUUCCAGCACUGAGAGAAACCUGGCCAUGUUGGACUUAGUGACCCAUGGUUGCCAAAUUGCCCCUUUCUAAGAGAUUUCCAAGGAUGAUUUGGCCAGGUAAGACUUUUGCCUUAUAUCACUUUAGAAACUGAAACUUGAACAGUGAUGUCUCCAUAGCAUACCCUUGCAAAGAUGAGCAAGACUAGAGUUCUUGCCUUCAAAAGCUCUCCAACUAGUAGAAGACAUAAGGCAUGUAUAAACAGACAAUGCAUGGCAGCAUUUGAUGGGAGCCAAACACACAAGGAUCAACCCAUUUGUCACCAGUUAGCAGUGAGAGUUUAUUAAAUAGGUUAGAAGAGGAGGAAAAUGUGAUGCACUGGUUCUGCUAGAGACUUUAUUCACUGGCUUAUUCAGAGCAAGAAAUCAUCAUUAUUUCAAUUUUAAAGACCUAUUUGGAAGAAGAUGCUUGCCUGAUCAUGAAGCAUUGCUUAAUAUAUAACUUAUCUUCUCCUGAUCUAUCGAUGGCAUUUUAUUUUAUUUUUCUCAAUGACCAUGGAGAAUACAGGUUUACUUCUUUAAGGACUCUCAAUAAUACAUUCUUUAAAGGUUUAAUACAUUUGUGUUAUUUUUUCAUUUUGUGCUGGGUUUCUUUUUCAGUGUGUUUGUUUCCUUUUCUCUUCUUAGAAAAUAUGUGAUUAUAUUCCUUAGUUCCAAGGUCUAUCAGCCCUAAUUCUUUAUGUCUCACUUCUGGAGUUGAUGAAAUAAUCACUGUCUUUUUAGCAUAGAACACCAGCAUAAGAAAGGCAAGAAAAGGGACCUUCCAGCUAUAGUGCUGGGACCAUCAGACCAUAGGAGCUUUUGAAUCUCAGUAUGUUUCAUCUUCUUACCAGGUCAUCCACCUCUGAAGGUGGUGACACACUAGGGUGAGAGAUGACUUACUGAUGAGGAUGUCUUCACAAGUUCUCAUUUGAAGUGGCUUUUGAAGAAUAAGGAGUAGAUGUGGGAGGCGGUUAGCAGUCAACUCUUUU